CCGAGUUAGGGUCCGUAUGGGCCUGACCUCCCAACCCUUUGUUUACCUGACCCUAUGUUGCUUCGGCGGGCCCGCCUUCACCGGCCGCCUGGGGAUUGAACUCCCCUGGCCCGCGCCCGUCGAUGGCCCUCACAUUUAAAACUUCAUGUGAAUCAUGUCUGUCUGAGUACCAGUCUUUUUUAAAAAUAAAAGCAA
rnacentral:misc_RNA from 1 species